rnacentral:rRNA from 1 species
GAUCAUGGCUCAGGAUGAACGCUAGCUACAGGCUUAACACAUGCAAGUCGAGGGGAAACGAUAGAGAAAGCUUGCUUUUUCUAGGCGUCGACCGGCGCACGGGUGAGUAACGCGUAUCCAACCUGCCCAUCACUUGGGGAUAACCUUGCGAAAGUAAGACUAAUACCCAAUGACGUCUCUAGAAGACAUCUGAAGGAGAUUAAAGAUUUAUCGGUGAUGGAUGGGGAUGCGUCUGAUUAGCUUGUUGGCGGGGUAACGGCCCACCAAGGCGACGAUCAGUAGGGGUUCUGAGAGGAAGGUCCCCCACAUUGGAACUGAGACACGGUCCAAACUCCUACGGGAGGCAGCAGUGAGGAAUAUUGGUCAAUGGACGAGAGUCUGAACCAGCCAAGUAGCGUGCAGGAUGACGGCCCUAUGGGUUGUAAACUUCUUUUAUAUGGGAAUAAAGUUUUCCACGUGUGGAAUUUUGUAUGUACCAUAUGAAUAAGGAUCGGCUAACUCCGUG